AUAAUAAGAUAAUGAACUUUGCAAAAUACCAAUUAGAAGAGAUUGUUAGCCUAGCCACUGUCAAGAUGAACUUAACAUAAUAAGACAGCAGGUACUGUAUUUUACAAGCUCUCUGUAGAGAAAACAUCAGAAAAGUAGCCAUCAGGAAAAAAUGCAGAGCAGCAGAGCAGCUAUUACUUGCCUUUAAACCGAUGCUGAUGAGACCUUGGAAAGACUUCAGAAGAGGAAUGUGUAUGGGGACUGACAAGCUAAUGAAGUAACAUGUUUAAGGUCCUAUAGAAAAAAAUAUGGUGGCUGCCCUGCCAGCAAUCCACAAGUUGAUACACACACAGCAUAACUCAUCCAUUGUUAACAUGACAACAGUAUAGUAUAUGGUCUUAACCCUUGUAACACUUCCCUGUCUUCAUGGUUCAUGGUUACAGGAGACAAACCAUGGAGUAGCUUAGCCAACUACAAGGAAACCAUUAUGUAGGACACCUUUAUUCAAACAUUUAGAGCCACUCAAGUAAAUGCAGCUUCAGAAGGAGCUCAUUUAUUUCACCUCCAUCUGCUUCUAAAUAACUAUGGUCAAAGGUACAUAGCUGCUUCAUCAAAAGUACCUCUUCAGUGUU
rnacentral:lncRNA from 1 species